UUCAAUGAACAGCGAUCCAGUAAAGAAUGACCACAGCAGAAGAGAUUAUAAAUUGCUGUAGAAUUAUUUUCUCCACCAGUUUCCAAACUGUUAGGAUGUUAAGAGACAAGCUGCACAGCCCUUUGACAGUUGUGAGUUCCAAAGAAAUUUCCUCCUGGAUUUAUGGAAUCUGUCUCUACCCUUCACUACGUUCAUAUGUAUAUAAGACUGUACUGCCGCGCCAAAUCAAACUUUCAACAGUCAAUUGACCUUCUCCAGUUCAAGACAAGAACCGAGCUCAAGAGAAAUGACUCCAUUCUGAUCUCAGAGUAUGAUUAUUCCCUCGGGACAGGAUGUGCCUCAUGGGAAGUUCAUGGUCAAAGCCAAUCCAGCCACAAGCGCAGAACCACAUCCAACAGUAAAGAUACUAGAAAUGGAAUUGCUAUUGUCAAAUCAUGCACCACCUUAAGGAAGUCUUGA
rnacentral:lncRNA from 1 species